AGUUUGUUCUUCCUCCCCAUGUGAAGAUAAAAGAAAUGGCCGGGCACGGUGGCUCACACCUGUAAUCCCAGCACUUUGUGAGGCCGAAGCGGGCGGAUCACGAGAUAAAUUAGUUGGCAGGACCACUGUGUCCAGAGCUGGUUCCUUCUGCUGGGUUCGUGGUCUCCCUGACUUUAAGAAUGAAGCCGUGGACCUUCACGCGUUCCUUAGAAACUGCGAAACUCCGACCGGGUACGGUGGCUCAUGCCUGUAAUCCCAGCACUGGGAGGCCGAGGCGGGCGGAUCACGAGGUCAGGAGAUCGAGACCAUCCUGUCCAACAU